rnacentral:rRNA from 1 species
AGAGUUUGAUCCUGGCUCAGAAUCAACGCUGGCGGCGUGCCUAACACAUGCAAGUCGAACGAGAAAGUGGGAGCAAUCCCAUGAGUAAAGUGGCGACCGGGUGAGUAACACGUGACUAACCUACCCUACAGUGGGGGAUAACCUCGGGAAACCGGGGCUAAUACCGCAUAACAUCGCAAGAUCAAAGAAGCAAUUCGCUGAAGGAGGGGGUCGCGGCUGAUUAGUUAGUUGGUGAGGUAACGGCCCACCAAGACGAAGAUCAGUAGCCGGCCUGAGAGGGCGCACGGCCACACUGGAACUGAAACACGGUCCAGACUCCUACGGGAGGCAGCAGUAGGGAAUUUUGCGCAAUGGGGGAAACCCUGACGCAGCAACGCCGCGUGGAGGAUGAAGUCCCUUGGGAUGUAAA